rnacentral:misc_RNA from 1 species
UAACCACUCCCGCUUGCGGGGUCUUGGGUUUCGCCUCCGGGCGGGCCUUAAAAUCAGUGGCGGUGCCGUCGGGCUCUACGCGUAGUAAAUUUUCUCGCGAUAGGGUCCCGGUGGAUGCUUGCCAACAACCCCCAAUUUUUUAA